UACGAAGGGGGCUAGCGUUGCUCGGAAUCACUGGGCGUAAAGGGUGCGUAGGCGGGUCUUUAAGUCAGUGGUGAAAGCCCGCAGCUUAACUGCGGAAUUGCCAUUGAAACUGAGUAGCUCGAAUCUGGUUGAAGUGGGCGGAAUACAUCAUGUAGCGGUGAAAUGCAUAGAUAUGAUGUAGAACACCGAUUGCGAAGGCAGCUCACUAAGCCAACAUUGACGCUGAGGCACGAAAGCGUGGGUAGCGAACAGG
rnacentral:rRNA from 1 species